AGCUUGCUCUUUUCAGAAUUGAGUGGCAAACGGGUGAGUAACACGUAAACAACCUGCCUUCAGGAUGGGGACACAAAAAGCGGAAACGACUGCUAAUACCGAAUAAGUUCCAAGAGCCGCAUGGCCCAUGGAAGAAAAGGUGGCCUCUACCUGUAAGCUAUCGCCUGAAGAGGGGUUUGCGUCUGAUUAGCUGGUUGGAGGGGUAACGGCCCACCAAGGCGACGAUCAGUAGCCGGUCUGAGAGGAAGGUCCCCACAUUGGAACUGAGACACGGUCCAAACUCC
rnacentral:rRNA from 1 species